GCACCCGUAGCUCAGUUGGUAGAGCAUCUGACUCUUAAUCAGGGUGUCCAGGGUUCGAGCCCCUGCGGAUGUA
rnacentral:tRNA from 1 species